AGAUUUGUCAUUUUAUACGUCUGUCUAGCAUACUAUAGUAUGAUAGAGGUCACUUGUUCACAAUAAAUAAAAAUAUUGCCUGUUGUGGGCAACCUAGAGUAGGUAUGUACAUUAAAAAUCUCAGCUAAAAAAUUAUUCUGUGAAUUGUGACUUUAAAAUUUAAGGUUAGUUUUAAUACUCUGUGAGUUCCAUAAUGGAAAUUUUGUAGUGUUUAAGUGAAGUUGUGAUGACUUAAUUGCUGCGGAAUUAUAUUAGAUUUUAUUGCCAUAAAUGAGUAUUUACUAAAUAUAUUUAUUCAUAAACAAAGUCUUCUCAUAACCUAUACAGCGAUGGCGACAGCAUACGGGAUACAUUUAGGUAAUAAUUCAGGUUGUUUAGCAGUGUAUGCCAAUAGUGCCGCAUCCGUAUUAGCUAAUGAUGCGGGGGACAGAGUGACACCAGCUAUUGUUGCCUUAAAUGGCGUCGAAUGGGAGAUUGGUCUCACAGCAAAGUCUGGACAAGCCUCUUCAAAGUCCAUAAUAAAACACAACAAACGUCUCAUGAACAAUGACUUCAGUGAAGAUGAUCUCACUUAUGUCGAGAGCUCUUCGUCAUGUCGUGUCCAAAAUGAUAAUAACCUAGUGUACGAAUUCGAAACGUCGGAAACAAAACUCUAUUCCAAUCCUGAUAACAUAGCAACAAAGAUUUAUGCCAAAUUGUACACCAUUGCAAGUCAUUCUGUACAAAAUGAAGGAGAUCUAAAACUUGUGCUAGCUGCACCCUUAAGCUGGUCCAGUGCAAGUAGAGAAAGAUUAGUGAAAUGUGCUGAGUUAGCUGGAUUUGACGUUUUACAAGUUAUUAGUGAGCCAGCAGCUGCCUUAUUAGCAUACAAUAUAGAAGAUUUGCCAGAAGAUGUUAAUGUCCUUGUUUAUAGACUUGGAGGAUCAACCUGUGCUGCAUCUGUUGUCAAAGUAUCGAAUGGAUUUAUGUCUGUAGAGAAAAAUAUUACUAGAGCCGAUCUUGGAGGGCAGUGUCUAACAAAAGACUUGGCUGACUAUAUAGCACAAGAAUUCAGACAAAAAUGGAAGUUAGACCCUCAUGAAAGCCGUAGAGCUAUGUCUAAACUGUUAAAUCAUGCUGACAACUGUAAGCAUGUGCUGUCAACAUUAAAUUCUGCUCAUGUCUUUAUUGAGUCUCUUUUAGAUGGUGUUGAUUGGAGUCAAAAUGUGACCAGAGCAAGGUUUGAAAAUAUUAUAUCAUCCAAGAUCUCCUCAUACAUAGAGCCUGCUAAAAAAGUCAUUGAGAAUUUUAAAGGGAAAAUAACUAAAAUUGUUCUAUGUGGAGGCAGCAUGAAGAUACCCAAGUUACAGUCAGUGAUAGCAAAUUUGCUGCCAGAAGCUGAAGUCCUUUCUGGUAUUAAUCCUGAUGAAGUUAUUGCUGUUGGCUGUGCUAAACAAGCUGGAAUGAUAUUGGAUUUGCCUGAAUUAUCCUUAACUGAUACUAGUACAGAAGUUGAAUUCCUUGGAAAGGAUAUUUAUUUGAAGUAUUUGGAUGAGACAGUAAAAUUGUUCAAAGAAGGAACACCUCCAUUUGCUCAUAAUAUUUGUAAUGUUGAUGUCAAAAAGGAUACAAAAGAUGUCAGUUUCACUCUGCAUGAUAAUCCAGACACUGAAAAGUUUGCUGAAGAGAUUUUUAAUGUAGAAAGCUUAAGUAGACCUUUUAAAUUAAAAGCCACAUUACAACCAGCAAAUGUCUUACUACAGGUUGAAUAAUUUUGUAAAUUGCAAAUGUAUCUAAUUUAUAAAUAAAUAGUUUUUUUAUAAUAUUGGCAAUCUUAAUAAGUUUUUUAUUGGUAAAUCAUGUAGUACAGUACAAAUUAUCACAUUUAUAUCAUGGUAUUCACAUUAUCCUCCUUAGAAUUUUAUUAUAAUAGUAAUAACAAAGUAACAUGGAUAACCCAAAUUAUUCCCAGUUGGUAAUUAUGUGAAGAGAAGCCUUUUACUUAGUCACAAAAACUGCUAUUUCUUGCCCGCCAAAGUAACUGCCUAAUAUCUUAUGGCACGAUCGUGAAGGCAGCAGGGUUAAAACCCAAAAUCGACCGACUGAAGUUAUCAGUAGUAUACUGAUACUAUUGUAACCUUCGCACCAGCAGAUGACUGAAAAUUUAAAUGUGCUGACGAGUGACGAUGAUUGUUAAGGUUAUUAGUCUGUGACUUGUAAGAAUGGCGGGAAAUUUAAACUGUGCUAUUGAUCAAUUUAAAAAACGAGUAAAAUAAAAAACAAUAAUGGAAUCUAAACAUAAAAUCGAAAUGAAAACCGAUAGCGAACGAUUACAAAACAUGGUAAACAGUUUAACGAAGUGCAAAGUUGUAAGGAUUGCUUUCCUACCCGAAUAAUAGAGAAGGUGCACCGGUAAAAUUAUUUAUUUUAAACGAAAUUAUAUUAUGUUUAGGAUUUUAUUACCGAAAAGGAGGAAUGCAAAAAAUUAAAAGAAGUAAACUCAAAGCUAGAAUUGGAACUAAAAGAAACACGCGAA